rnacentral:lncRNA from 1 species
UCAGCGCCUCCCGCGUGUGUUCAGGACGGUUCUCUGUAAAGCGUGGACCCGCCCCCCGCAACCACAGCGUAGUAUCCAGGGAGAGGUGGGCAGAGCUGGGGCCGGUACCCGGGGACGUGGUGUCUGCCGGAAGUGUCUGUCUGUGCUUUUAGAGGUGGGGACGGCGGGAAGGUAAAAGAGUCUUCCCCGUGCCACUGGACAGUGUGGCCCACUGGGAGGGACUCCUGCCCAAGCACCCCUGUACCCAGGACGGCCUGUGGUCGCAGCCGUCAGCUGUGCCUGCCUGCCUGCCUCUCCCCUGGGGAGGUCCAGGGUCCCGACAGGUCCGGGAAACGCCAGCGGAGUGCCAGCCCUCGGGAGAUCCGGGGCUUCCCAUGGAGCAGCAGUCACCCGUCCCUGCCUGGAUGCCGCCGCUGGAGGGCGCCGCCGUCCACAGCCCGGGGGAAAAGGCGUCAGGCUUGCACGGAUAACAAUCCGGACAGAGGAGGUUGCGGCCCUGGUGGCGGUCCCAGGGAGUUGUGCAGCCCCGGGCACACGGGCAGGAAGCUCUUUCUCAUCACGGCAGCCAGCCCAUUCAGCGCCAGUGCCGUGUAGCCCCGUGCUGGGCUCUGGUGGCUCAGGUGGUGGCAGGCGCCAGCCUGGAGGGGGCAGCCGAGUGUCCAGUUGUUCCCGGGAAGGAGCUCCUGCUGUGGCCAAAGGAGGCCCUUUGUGUCUCGCGUCCCUGGAUACGUGCCCGCCCCAUCCUUCCUGACUGGGCCUCAGAGAUGACGUCCCGUAUGGACAGCUAAUUUUCGACAAGGCAGCCAAGAGCAUACAAUGGAGAAAGGAAAGUCUCUUCAGUACACGGUGCUGGGAAAACUGGACAGCCACGUGCAAAAGAAUGAGACUAGACCGCUAUCUUACACCAUCCACGAAAAUUAACUCAAAGUGGGUUAAAGACUUGCACGUAAGACCCAAAACCGUAAACCUCCUAGAAGAGUCUCGCUAGCACCUUCCUUCCUCGCUGCCACCUGAGCUGGCGGGGCCCGAGCGCAGGGCGAGCCUGGGGACCCUCGG